rnacentral:rRNA from 1 species
UAAGGAAUAUUGGUCAAUGGAGGCAACUCUGAACCAGCCAUGCCGCGUGCAGGAAGAAGGCCCUAUGGGUCGUAAACUGCUUUUGAACAAGAGAAAACCCCGGUACGUGUACUGGGUUGAUAGUAUUGUUAGAAUAAGCAUCGGCUAACUUCGUGCCAGCAGCCGCGGUAAGACGAAGGAUGCAAGCGUUAUCCGGAUUCAUUGGGUUUAAAGGGUGCGUAGGCGGACUGAUAAGUCAGUGGUGAAAUCUCUCGGCUUAACCGAGAAACUGCCAUUGAUACUGUUAGUCUAGAGUACAGAUGAUGUGGGCGGAAUAUGACAUGUAGUGGUGAAAUACUUAGAUAUGUCAUAGAACACCGAUUGCGAAGGCAGCUCACAAAACUGUAACUGACGCUGAGGCACGAAAGUGCGGGGAUCAAACAGGAUUAGAUACCCAAGUAGUCCCUGAGCGGGCUGGCAAGGCG